GUCUGCGGCCAUGCCACCUUCAACAAGCCUGAUCCCGUCUGAUCUCAGAAGCUAAGCAGGGUUGGGCCUGGUUAGUAUUUGGAUGGGAGACCACCUAGGAAGACCAGGUGCUAUAGGCA
rnacentral:rRNA from 1 species